rnacentral:misc_RNA from 1 species
CCGAUCUCCUAGCUCACCCUACAUUUCAUUUGAUGCAGACCGUUGUCGUCAUGAAAUUGCUAAGAUGAUCAUCAUGCAUGACUACCCACUUCACAUGGUUGAACACAGUGGGUUCGUAACUUUUGUUCAAAAUCUUCAGCCCCGAUUUGGCAUGGUGAGCUUCAAUACUGUCCAAGGGGAUUGUGUUGCAACUUACUUGAGGGAAAAGCAGAAUGUAAUGAAGUUUAUUGAAGGAAUGCCUGGACGUGUUUGUCUUACAUUGGACAUGUGGACAUCAAGUCAAAGUUUAGGGUAUGUUUUUGUAACUGGACACUUCAUUGAUAGUGAUUGGAAGCCACAUAGGCGGAUUCUCAAUGUUGUGAUGGAACCGUAUCCUGAUUCAGAUACUGCUCUCAGCCAUUCUGUUGCUUGUUGCCUUUCUGAUUGGAGUUUGGAAGGCAAGCUAUUUUCUGUUACAUACAAUCGUCCAGUGGGUGAACCUGGCCUUGAAAAUCUUAGAUCUCUGCUUUGCAUAAAAAAUCCCCUUAUUCU